rnacentral:snoRNA from 1 species
UGUUAUAUGAUGAAAACUUUUCUCAGCUCACUCAGAGUUUCAAACAGUGAUUGAAAACAUUUUCCUAUCCAACAUUCAUCAAAUUAUCUGACAUAGAA